rnacentral:rRNA from 1 species
CAGUAGCCGCGGUAAUACGAAGGGGGCGAGCGUUGCUCGGAAUGACUGGGCGUAAAGGGCGCGUAGGUGGCGUGCACAGUCAGAUGUGAAAUUCCUGGGCUCAACCUGGGGGCUGCAUUUGAUACGUGCGUGCUAGAGUGUGGAAGAGGGUCGUGGAAUUCCCAGUGUAGAGGUGAAAUUCGUAGGUAUUGGGAAGAACACCGGUGGCGAAGGCGGCGACCUGGUCCAUUACUGACGCUGAGGCGCGAAAGCGUGGGGAGCAAACAGGAUUAGAUACCCGCGUAGUCCCUGUCUCUUAUAC